AUUCUAUUUCUCAGCGGGAGAGCACUACAUUGACAUUGUAGGGGUCACUGGUUCAAUCCCAGUAUCGCCCACCA
rnacentral:tRNA from 1 species